GUGGCUGAAAUAGCUCAGUUGGGAGAGCGUUAGACUGAGGAUCUAAAGGUCCCUGGUUCAAUCCCUUAACCUGGCGGCCACG